AGAGUUUGAUCCUGGCUCAGGACGAACGCUGGCGGCGUGCCUAACACAUGCAAGUCGAACGGAGAUGUUCGCUGAUUUGAGAGAAGCUUGCUUCUGGAUUUUCUUGAACAUCUUAGUGGCGGACGGGUGAGUAACGCGUGGGCAACCUGCCUUUCACAGGGGGAUAACACAGGGAAACUUGUGCUAAUACCGCAUAAGACCACAGUAGGACAUCCUACAGAGGCCAAAGGAGUAAUCCGGUGAAAGAUGGGCCCGCGUCUGAUUAGCUAGUUGGUGGGGUAACGGCUCACCAAGGCGACGAUCAGUAGCCGAACUGAGAGGUUGAUCGGCCACAUUGGAACUGAGACACGGUCCAAACUCCUACGGGAGGCAGCAGUGGGGAAUAUUGCACAAUGGGCGAAAGCCUGAUGCAGCAACGCCGCGUGAGCGAAGAAGGCCUUCGGGUUGUAAAGCUCUGUCCUUGGGGAAGAUAAUGACGGUACCCUUGGAGGAAGCCCCGGCUAACUACGUGCCAGCAGCCGCGGUAAUACGUAGGGGGCAAGCGUUAUCCGGAAUUAUUGGGCGUAAAGAGUGCGUAGGUGGUUACCUAAGCAGGGGGUGAAAGGCAGUGGCUCAACCAUUGUUAGCCCCCUGAACUGGGCUACUUGAGUGCAGGAGAGGAAAGCGGAAUUCCUAGUGUAGCGGUGAAAUGCGUAGAUAUUAGGAGGAACACCAGUGGCGAAGGCGGCUUUCUGGACUGUAACUGACACUGAGGCACGAAAGUGUGGGGAGCAAACAGGAUUAGAUACCCUGGUAGUCCACACCGUAAACGAUGAGCACUAGGUGUCGGGGUCGCAAGACUUCGGUGCCGCAGUUAACCCAUUAAGUGUUCCGCCUGGGGAGUACGUACGCAAGUAUGAAACUCAAAGGAAUUGACGGGGGCCCGCACAAGCAGUGGAUUAUGUGGUUUAAUUCGACGCAACGCGAAGAACCUUACCAGGAUUUGACAUCCAACUAACGAAGUAGAGAUACAUUAGGUGCCCUUCGGGGAAAGUUGAGACAGGUGGUGCAUGGUUGUCGUCAGCUCGUGUCGUGAGAUGUUGGGUUAAGUCCCGCAACGAGCGCAACCCCUAUUGUUAGUUGCUACGCGAGAGCACUCUAGCGAGACUGCCGUUGACAAAACGGAGGAAGGCGGGGACGACGUCAAAUCAUCAUGCCCCUUAUGUCCUGGGCUACACACGUAAUACAAUGGCGUAAACAGAGGGAAGCGACCCCGCGAGGGUGAGCGAAUCCCAAAAAUAACGUCUCAGUUCGGAUUGCAGGCUGCAACCCGCCUGCAUGAAGCUGGAAUCGCUAGUAAUCGCGAAUCAGAAUGUCGCGGUGAAUACGUUCCNCGGGUCUUGCACUAACCGCCCGUCA
rnacentral:rRNA from 1 species